rnacentral:tRNA from 1 species
UGACGGCGUCGACGAGCACCGGCAUGACGUUGUCGCCGUCGCGGACCGUCUCGCGGAGGUCGGAAAGCGCGGCUUCGACCGCCGCGUCGUCGC